rnacentral:lncRNA from 1 species
GCGGAUUGGAAGACAUGACUCUCCAUCAGCUUGCAUGCAUGAGGUUGUACUUAUUUGUCAUGGGAGUCAACCCAGGCAGGAAUGCAGGACUUACCUUCAUUGUAAGCUCUAAUCCCAAGAAAAUCCCUUUUUGGAGAAAAGGGUGUUAGUGAUGCAUCUCUUCUGAUCUACAUUCCAAGAACGAUAUCAGCAUUUGAGGGUAAUAAAAGCAGUCCAAACCACCUCUGAAAUUUUUCCCUGGAAGCAGAGUUCCAUGUAUACCUGCUGGGAAUGGGAGAGACAAGAUUACACCUGGAUCUUAGGUAUAAAUUGCCUGUUUAAAGAAAAGCACUGUGAAUAUGACUUUGGAGCGGAUGACACCAGACAUGCACCUGGAAGGCAAAAUCGCCAAACUGUGUCUCACUUAUUUUGGCCAUGGUAUCGGGGAAUUCACUGAAGAAAGUAGUUAUGCUUGGAAGAAUUAAGAGGUAAAAGGAAAUCAGGCCACCAAAGAACACUGGUUGGAUACUAUCAAGGCUGACACCAGCCAGACCAUAAAAUAACUCAAGGAAGCAGCCCAGGAUUGGAUGAUGUGGGAGACCUGGCCCAUAGAAUCACCAAGAAUCGAACACGAUUGAAUGGAUAACAUCAUCAUCAACAGAUCUAUAAGGUUUUAAUGUUUAUUAAAAGAUUUAGGGAAAGCUGUUUUUUUAUGACCAGAAUACAGGAGGAUACAUUUCAGCAAUAUUUGUUGGUUUUAAAAUGCCCGACUCCUUUUCUCUUGUUGAAAAAAGAACGUUUCAAGUCUUUAGGCUAGCUGGAGGCCAUUAAAAGAUUACACAAGAUCUCUCUUGUCCUGUAGUUUGUUACCAAUCAGGUCCAUCAAGGAAGCCCUCAAGUUUUACUAUCCACUUCAUGUUCUCAGAUAACUAGGAUUCCAGAGGUGCG